UGAGGAAUAUUGGUCAAUGGGCGGGAGCCUGAACCAGCCAAGCCGCGUGAGGGAAUAAGGCCCUACGGGUCGUAAACCUCUUUUGUCGGGGAACAAAAGUGGGGACGCGUCCCCGUCUGCGUGUACCCGAAGAAAAAGCAUCGGCUAACUCCGUGCC
rnacentral:rRNA from 1 species